rnacentral:rRNA from 1 species
GAUGAACGCUGGCGGCGUGCCUAAUACAUGCAAGUCGAGCGAACAGACGAGGAGCUUGCUCCUCUGACGUUAGCGGCGGACGGGUGAGUAACACGUGGAUAACCUACCUAUAAGACUGGGAUAACUUCGGGAAACCGGAGCUAAUACCGGAUAAUAUAUUGAACCGCAUGGUUCAAUAGUGAAAGACGGUUUUGCUGUCACUUAUAGAUGGAUCCGCGCCGCAUUGGCUAGUUGGUAAGGUAACGGCUUACCAAGGCGACGAUGCGUAGCCGACCUGAGAGGGUGAUCGGCCACACUGGAACUGAGACACGGUCCAGACUCCUACGGGAGGCAGCAGUAGGGAAUCUUCCGCAAUGGGCGAAAGCCUGACGGAGCAACGCCGCGUGAGUGAUGAAGGUCUUCGGAUCGUAAAACUCUGUAAUUAGGGAAGAACAAAUGUGUAAGUAACUAUGCACGUCUUGACGGUACCUAAUCAGAAAGCCACGGCUAACUACGUG